ACAUAAAGAAUAUGUGUGGAUCAAGCACUUCAACACAGAUUCAAUUCCAUGCCAAAGACUUCCCGCUGCAGUUGUAUAAACUCCAAAUUCUGCUAGUGUAGUUAUUAGAAACACUCCACUCAUCUACCAACAAGUAACAGUCUGGGGUUUGGCUUGUGCCAGCAGAGGGAGCAAAAGUAAAACAGCUUCUCAGUUCCAAGUUUGUGCUAAAUGUUGCGCUGGAUGAUCAGCAAAGCGGUGGCAGAUUUUGUUUUGUAUCCUGUAUGUAGCACAUGAUUUGAAGGCUGCAGAGGAAAAGAGGUAGAAGGUAUUUCUACACACCAGAUGGGUGGCGAAAUACACCUGUGCUUUCACUGAAUGUGUUACAUAGCAGGCCAGCCACAAAAAGAACCCAGCCCCCAAACAUAUACUUAAAUGCCAAAACACCAAUAUAUCUACUGAAAUUGGGAUAUUAAAUCAGACACUAGAAAACACCCGUGCUCAUCUGCUCAUUAUCACUUUCUAUGAACCAAUGUUGACAUCAGUUUAAUCAGCUUAGUCGGAAAACUGAACAGCAUCCAAAAAUAGAAUAUUGCCUCUUAAUUACCAACAAACUGGCAUGAAGAGUAGAC